GCAAGUCGAACGGUAACAGGAUAGCUUGCUAUCGCUGACGAGUGGCGGACGGGUGAGUAAUACUUAGGGAUCUGUCUUCGGGAGGGGGAUAACCAUUGGAAACGAUGGCUAAUACCGCAUAACGUCUACGGACCAAAGGAGGCUUCGGCUUCCACCUGAAGAGGAACCUAAGCGAGAUUAGCUUGUUGGUGAGGUAAAGGCUCACCAAGGCGACGAUCUCUAGCUGUUCUGAGAGGAAGAUC
rnacentral:rRNA from 1 species